rnacentral:lncRNA from 1 species
UACCUUAUUCAUUGUUUAGCCUUUCAACAUGACAGGCUGUCAUUAGCACAAACUUAUUAUAAUGUUUGGCUACAAAAUUAAAGUUUUCACAAAAAGUUGAAAUUAUGAUUGUGUUAAAUGAAAUCAUAAUAAUCUUGUAUAAUGAUAAUUAUAUUUAUUUAUAAAUUUAAUUUCAUGAAGAAACUGAUUGUAAUAAUGUAAAUAAGGUAAAAUUGUACAUAUAUUUAUCGUUUUGCACCCCCUCGAGUUAAACUCUCGAUGUCUAAGAAAGCUCAACGAGAAAGAUUCAAUUUUAUGAAAGGUCUGUCCGCAAGUUCACUUGGAUGAUUUUUCGAUUACUCACACCCGAUGUUUUGAUAUGUACACAUUGUGCUAUAUUCAUUGCGACAUUGCAUUUAAAGUAUAUUUGGAUUUCUUUUUUGUUUCAAUGCAGUAUGAGUUAUAGAACAUGUCAACGACAGUUAGAAUGAAUUUUGAUAAGCAUGCAAGAAACAUAACACAUGCACAAACCUCCACUGGACGAUUGAUUCUCGAGGAUCAAGUUUGUGGGUAAAUAUCCAUUGAUGGUCGAUCAUUAAUUUCCAGAAUGACAUAGUGUAGAUGAUUUAUCAAAAUAUAUUUCUAAAAUUGGUCUAGGUUUUAACACUAAUGUUCGAUUUAAUGAGCUUACCAAAAUUAACUAUAGGUGAUGUGAUAACUGUCUCAAGCAACUCUUACACGGGAUUGCUCCAAAGAAACCCUAGACUCCUUGUUUGAUAAACAUUUUGUAUACAAAGGAGUAUUAUGACCAUUUACAAAUAUUUAAGAUCUGUUAAAAAAACUACAAAUAAAAAGCGUCAUUUUUCUUAAUGGUUGGGCUGUAUGUGACGAUAUGUACAAUUUUAGGGGAGGUUGAUGCAAAUCACCAUCGCUNAAAAAGCAAUGCAUUUUUCUGCUAUCUCAUAAACAUGGUAAUUAUGGGUGAUUCAGAAAAAUAAAUAGGACUUCUUAGGGCAGGGGUAUUUUAGGUAACUAGAUUGUUUUAGUUUCUUAUGCACGGUAAAUGAAUUAGACAAGUAGAAAGACUAAAAGAAAACUAUGUUGUUAUUACUUAGCAAUUUCUUAUAUACUUUAACAACAAUGUACAUUGAAAUAUUUGGACAUUUAUCUAAUUAUAUUUAAUUGCACUUUUUUACCUUUAAUUUUAACAAUAAUGUUUUUGUAACACCUCAAAUCUUAGACCAAUUUUUUUUUUUCAUUUUAAAUUUACCGAAAACAAGUUUCACAAAUAAAGUUAUCAAACACAUAAUAAUCCAAAACAACCGUUUUCACAAAAUAUCAGAGUUUUUGAAACUGUCCCAAACCUCUAUCCAUCCUCCCAGCGAGUGUGCACAAUCAGACAUUCGCCUUCCCGCACUUCUCAAAACUACCUGAAACACAUAAAUCAACAACUGUAACCACGAAGCUUAGUGGGUUUUCCAAGAUAUCACACACAACACUACAUAAAUAAAUAGCUAUGGGUUAUCAGCAACCUUGGGGACUAUCAACAAUACCAGCGGGCAACAACACACCUUAUGAGUUUUCAGCAACUCUAGGGACUGUCCUCAGUCUCAGUCACACGUAACAACGUAACACAAAAUAACAGCAGACCCAACUGAUCAUCAUAAAUACAACUAUUCUACCAGACAGGUAAGGAUAACUGAGGAGACUCGCCUUAUACUAUCGACAAGUAAAUGUCAUAGCCGAACUGCCAGAAUUAGACUUCUCCUAUCGAACGAAAUAAUUAACCCUACUUAGUAUUUAACAUCCAAAUCUAAGUCAAAAGUCAACGAAAUUCGACUGCUCAAUGCGUAUGCUUGGCGUAUACUUCGUUACACGGGGCGUACAAUGCGAACAGUGACCAGACGGCGAAGGAACUGGCUGAUGGGUUUUAUACAAAACAACAUCCUAUGCGCUCAUGCAAACCCUAAAGCUUGGAUCUAGGUUUCUCUAUUUUACAUGCAAUUCAUCCAAGGCUACCAAAAAUUGGCAUCCAAGUGAUCUUAGAAGAGUCCAUUUUCUCAGCUCCUAACUAUGUGUAAAAAUCCAACAAAUAUUUUCUAAAUUUUUCAUAUUGCAUUCCUAAUUUUCCCAAUUGGGCCCAAGUAUAUCCAUUAGGCCUUAUCCUAUAGCUCAAUCCAAAUAUUAUAGUCCAUAUGCUUGUUUUUGGAUUGCCCAUCAGUAGCCCAAUCACCAAAGCCCAAUAGAAAGGCCAAACUCAAGGCCAAAGCAAAAUUAGGGUUUCUCACAUGAAAUGACGAUUGGGGUUAAGUAAUCUAACUUAACCCAUUAAACACUUAAUCCAUUAAAGUCCAUCACUCUAUUAGGCCAUUCAUACAAUGUAGUUGGACACAAAUCAAAAUUCCAGUAUAAUAGUCCAAACGCGUGUCCCGACAAUUCCCAAAGUAACAUUCCCAGAGUUAGGGUUUUAUAAACCCUAAUUAGGGUUUCCAAUCCAAUCACAAUCCUACUGAGUCCAAGAUUAAGCAACUAGGCCAAUUAGGGUUCCACAAGGCCAGACACCACCCACUGCCACCUCGGCGGUGGUGGUCGGCAACAGCCAUAAUUUGCAAUGGUGGUGGUGGUGGUAGUUCCUGCCCAAAAAUUCCUUAUACCACUUCACACAUAAUAUACACACACACACGUAGCCACUAGAGUUGGUGGUUAGUGGUGGAAAAACGGUGGCAGCCACCACCUCAUGGUGGUGGUGACGGACCUUCAUUGAUUUUCCGGCCAAAAAUGGCUCAUACAGCAACAAUAACACUGAAAACAACAUAUAUUCUAGACAUACAUCCACCCAGCCACCUUCCAUGCGGCUGAUUUUUCCGGAAAGUUACGAAACCAGUUGCCAAAGGCCACCGACGGCAGCGGUGAAGCAUCUGAUGUCGAACACGCACAAAGGGACGGAGGAAAGGAGGGAGACAAGUGGCAGAUGGUCUUACCUGAAGCCUCUCGGUAGGUCACGCCCUUGCUGCAGUGAACACGUCCUUUUGUCGACCAUCAGCGGUUUUCCGGGUUGUUUACGAUGUCUCCGGCAGCGACGUUGUGGCAUUUAGAUGGCGAUGGAUCGGCGGCAACGACGUUGUGGCGUGUAGGUGGAGUUUCGUUUUAUCUGGACGCAUCUAAGUAGUUUACUGAACCGUACCUUUUUUUAGAUUAACGAAUACAAGAAAAUGUUAGUUUGGUUAUUACAAUCUUUUAGUUUGAUGCAUAACUCUUGAUGUUGUUCCCAUUCAUAUUUUCAUUGAGAUAAAAAGUGUGCAAGUAUAAAACUAAUUUUGCUUCAUACUUUUUCUUAUAAUGAUGAGUUUAAAGGUGAUUAUGAAAUAAAAAAUGAUUGUGAUAUCAUCGAUCCAUUGAAGGUUUAUUAUCACCUUUAAAGUUAUUUAUUAUUAAUUUUUUUACAUAAAAAGUUUUUUUAAUCUACUUUAGGUAUGGUUAUAGAAGACUAAGUUUAUUUUACUUGGAACAAUCUAAGUACUUAGAAAGGUCUAUGCUUGGUUUUAUGAUGCUUGUAUUAGACGUGGAAAGAAGGUUAUAGAGGUGUAUAGUAUUGAUUAUACAUCUGAUUCCCAAAAAGGCAUAUCAUAUAUACAACGGAUUUCCGACGGCUAUGGCAAAUUUUAGCAACGAAUUUUUAGGUCGGUUAUUAGUACCGAUCAAUGACGAAUAUACUUUUUUGUAAAAAUUACCAAAAGAAUAACUCACUAACGAACUAUCGAUGAAAUUUAAUAAAAACUCACUAAUAGAUCACAUAUAGAUUUUAUGUGAUAGGCUAGCGGCGACUUUUGUAUAUAAAAAAAAAUAUAAAUUCAUGAAAAAAUUAACAAUAAUUACAUAUUUAACAAAGGAAAAAUCUUGAAACAUACAUCAAAUCUGUAUUUUAAAACCAUCAAAUAUAAAUCCACCAGUUGGGUAUUCAUUAUUCAUUCAUUCUUUGUUUACUUUACUUCUCCAUGCAAAGACAAAAUCCAAAACAAUCUUGAAAAUUAAUUCCACCUUGAGGACCCACCACCUCCAUUUCUAACAAAGAUGUUCCUUAGAAUGUCAGCAUUCAUUAGAAACAUGUUUCCCAAGGAAAACAAUCCACUUCUUAUCGGAAUAUGUGAUUCGGAUUCCGAUCCCUCCGAAAUGAGAAGACACCUUCAGAUCAACAAUCUCAUACUAAAUCGAGUGAAAACGAUGGAAAUUUUAGCAAAUUUAGAUUCAAAUUAACACACCUUCAGAUACAUCUUCUUGUGUUCCCUCAAACACCGUAUAUGAUAUUCCCUUUCACACUGCAAGGAGGAUAAAUCUAACAAUCAGAAAUCAAAACGCAGCAUAAUUGGAUUUUUUUGAAUGACCAUUUAUCCUUGUACCAAAACUAAAACAAGCACUAUACUACAGGGACCAAAUUUAUUGAUAUAUAUUUAAGGAAUGAGCAUGUCAAGAUCUAGUGAUCAGAUAUGCAACUUCUGUCAACAUUGCCAUCAUCUCCAAACAUCAUUCAGUAAGAAUGGAACAAGAUGUCAGAUUUAGACCUUACUUAAGCGUUACUUGAUAUAGCAUAAAUUGGAAAGUUGAGAAUUAAAAAUUUAUUGGCAUCAAAACAAUUACAUAAGAAAACGUUUUAUAAACUUACCUUUGAAAGGAGAACAGCAAUACAUGUGAAGCCUUUUUGUUACAAUCAAUGAAAACCUGCAGAAAUAAAAUAAAUGGUAAUCUACUGAUUAAUCUGUAGCAGCCGUGUAAAAGAAUAAUAAAAACACUACUUUAUAGUUUAUAGUUUAUACUCACAUGAAACAUUCACAUGAAAGAUAUCAAAAGCUUAUGAACAUUUUGUUAUCAUCAGAAACAUCUUUGCCAAGGAACACAAUCCACUUGACAUCAGAAAGGGUAAGGUACAGUGGCCUGGAGAAACCCACAAAACCAACCCUUGAAAUGCUAUGAACACCUAACUGGUACCGAUCUGAUUCAACUAGACUGACAACAGAUCAAGAAAGUGUGAGUCACAGGAGAACAGCAUAUAUAAACUUCGAAACUACAAAAAAAAAGGACAAAACAGCUUCAAAACACAUGAUUCAGAAUGAUAACUUACAUGGUUUUUCUUACAAAAUAUUGCGGAUCUUUGCUAGUUUUUUGAUCUGUGUGCAUGAUAGAGAAUUUUUUUUUUGAAAUCAACAAAUAAAAGUCUUGGUGAUUUGCAUGACCCAAAAGACACAGAUCGAUAACUUUAUCAAACCAAUGCAUGAUUUUCAGAUAUGCAUUAUCCUCCUAAGCUCUUAAUUAUUUGUGAAUAGUUUGAUGUUUGGAUCCUGGAUCUAGAUUCAGUUGAUUAUGACAGCGGCUGUGGAUCCUCAACAUCUAAUAUAUAUAGUAAGAAAAGUGUGGGCGUCAACCCUAAUCCUGAUCUCUAGCGAUGGUGAUUUGCAUCAACCUCCCCUAAAAUUGUACAUAUCGUCACAUACAGCCCAACCAUUAAGAAAAAUGACGCUUUUUAUUUGUAGUUUUUUUAACAGAUCUUAAAUAUUUGUAAAUGGUCAUAAUACUCCUUUGUAUACAUAACUAUUUUUUUAACGGUUCUUAUUUGUAAAUGGCCACACUAUCUUUAUUUGUAUUUUUUUUCAAAAACAUUUGAUACAUUUUUCUUGCUUGUUUAAGUGAGAAUAUCUUCAAUCAUUUGACAUUAUGAUUAUUCGAGGUUGACUAUACCUUAUUCAUUGUUUAGCCUUUCAACAUGACAGGCUGUCAUUAGCACAAACUUAUUAUAAUGUUUGGCUACAAAAUUAAAGUUUUCACAAAAAGUUGAAAUUAUGAUUGUGUUAAAUGAAAUCAUAAUAAUCUUGUAUAAUGAUAAUUAUAUUUAUUUAUAAAUUUAAUUUCAUGAAGAAACUGAUUGUAAUAAUGUAAAUAAGGUAAAAUUGUACAUAUAUUUAUCGUUUUGCACCCCCUCGAGUUAAACUCUCGAUGUCUAAGAAAGCUCAACGAGAAAGAUUCAAUUUUAUGAAAGGUCUGUCCGCAAGUUCACUUGGAUGAUUUUUCGAUUACUCACACCCGAUGUUUUGAUAUGUACACAUUGUGCUAUAUUCAUUGCGACAUUGCAUUUAAAGUAUAUUUGGAUUUCUUUUUUGUUUCAAUGCAGUAUGAGUUAUAGAACAUGUCAACGACAGUUAGAAUGAAUUUUGAUAAGCAUGCAAGAAACAUAACACAUGCACAAACCUCCACUGGACGAUUGAUUCUCGAGGAUCAAGUUUGUGGGUAAAUAUCCAUUGAUGGUCGAUCAUUAAUUUCCAGAAUGACAUAGUGUAGAAUAUUUAUCAAAAUAUAUUUCUAAAAUUGGUCUAGGUUUUAACACUAAUGUUCGAUUUAAUGAGCUUACCAAAAUUAACUAUAGGUGAUGUGAUAACUGUCUCAAGCAACUCUUACACGGGAUUGCUCCAAAGAAACCCUAGACUCCUUGUUUGAUACUAUAUACUCCACCGCUAACGUUCAAUAUUCCUCAAUAAACAACAAAAGGGAAACAAAACAAGUGGUAUUUAGGGGUAAAAUGACCAUUUUUACCAUCUUACUUUACUACAAUGCUAUAUUGCUAUUUUACACAAUUACUUAUACUCACAUUAUGUGCAAAAAAAAAAGCAAUGCAUUUUUCUGCUAUCUCAUAAACAUGGUAAUUAUGGGUGAUUCAGAAAAAUAAAUAGGACUUCUUAGGGCAGGGGUAUUUUAGGUAACUAGAUUGUUUUAGUUUCUUAUGCACGGUAAAUGAAUUAGACAAGUAGAAAGACUAAAAGAAAACUAUGUUGUUAUUACUUAGCAAUUUCUUAUAUACUUUAACAACAAUGUACAUUGA